rnacentral:rRNA from 1 species
UACGUAGGGGGCAAGCGUUGUUCGGAAUUACUGGGCGUAAAGGGCGCGUAGGCGGCACGGCAAGUCGGGAGUGAAAGCCCGGGGCUCAACCCCGGAGGGUCUCUCGAAACUGCCGAGCUAGAGUGCGGAAGAGGCAAUCGGAAUUCCCAGUGUAGCGGUGAAAUGCGCAGAUAUCAGGAAGAACACCAAUGGCGAAGGCAGCUCUCUGGGACGGUACUGACGCUGAGACGCGAAAGCGUGGGGAGCGAACAGG